rnacentral:snRNA from 1 species
UAUCCUCAAUGAAGAUGGUCUA